CACUCCUACGGGAGGCAGCAGUGGGGAAUAUUGGACAAUGGGCGCAAGCCUGAUCCAGCCAUGCCGCGUGAGUGAUGAAGGCCCUAGGGUUGUAAAGCUCUUUCACCGGUGAAGAUAAUGACGGUAACCGGAGAAGAAGCCCCGGCUAACUUCGUGCCAGCAGCCGCGGUAAUACGAAGGGGGCUAGCGUUGUUCGGAUUUACUGGGCGUAAAGCGCACGUAGGCGGACUAUUAAGUCAGGGGUGAAAUCCCGGGGCUCAACCCCGGAACUGCCUUUGAUACUGGUAGUAUUGAGUUCGAGGGAGGUGAGUGGAAUUCCGAGUGUAGAGGUGAAAUUCGUAGAUAUUCGGAGGAACACCAGUGGCGAAGGCGGCUCACUGGCUCGAUACUGACGCUGAGGUGCGAAAGCGUGGGGAGCAAACAGGAUUAGAAACCCCGGUAGUCCCAUGAU
rnacentral:rRNA from 1 species